rnacentral:lncRNA from 7 species
AUCAUUGUGGUCCUUUUCAGCCCAGGCCAUUCUAUGAUUCUAAGAUUCUAUAUGCAGAGAGAUUUUUGAGUCACUGCAAACAAUGCAUCAUAUCCAGUCCAGACUCCACACAAGGUUGUGAAGGCUAGAAUUAACAGCCAGCCAUGGAGAGGAGCAGUGGAUACAAACAAUUUGGAAUGAGAAGACAGUGGAUCACAGAACCAAAAAUUUCCUCAAGCUUUGCUCAGCUCAGAGAUGAAAGCUUGCAGCUGUGUAAGCAGGAGGCCACAACUGAUCUCAGCUACCAUCGUGACUUUUUUAAGGAGAAGAAAGUUAUUACACUUCACACCCCUGAAGGGAAACUACAUAGCAAGGGAACAGCUGUUAGGUCUUUAUACAGUUACUCUAGCAGCAUGCCAGCCUUUGCCACCUGGCCAGAAGAGAAGACACGUCCCCUCUGGGUCCCUUUCCUACAUGGAGCCAUGCAGGCCCGGCAGUGCUGGGGCUCUGGAGGUGCUGCUGAGGAUCAUUCAGGCCUGCAGGCUGUAAAUCUGGUGCUGUCCUACACUGCAUUCUUCAGUUCUUGUUUACUGAAAGAGCAUGGUUACUAUUUGGACUCUGAUCUUGCAAGCUGUAUGUUUUACCUGUGAAAAGUACUGCAGUGUUGACUAGUGUGCACAGGCAAGAAGCUCAUUUUACUCAUUACAAAAUCUGCCUUCAUAGAAAUCACAGUAUGUCCAAAUGCCCACGUUAUUAGCAGAAGAGGAUAUCAUGAUACAGAUUUCCCACCUGCUAACUGUUCUUUACUCCAAAAAGUCAAAGUAUGCACAACUUUCCUCGCCCUCCAUCUUGACGACCCACAGACACCGGCGUAGAAAUGAAAGGACGCCUCGAGCAGAAAAUCUGAGAGGCUGAUGCCUUUCCGUCGGUCCCGUUAGGUGGAGCUCUCAGACAAGGAGAAAUGACAUCCCACCAGGCACCCUGAGGAGUCGUUAGCACUGUAUUAUUCAGAUAAAAUUGAAGAACAAAAAUGCAGCUGGGGUUCAUGCAAGUGGCAAUUUGAAGAGUACCUUUAUUCUCAAACAGCUUGACUUCUCUUGUCGGGGAGAGUAUCUGUCAAACCACACGUUUCUCCUUCCUGAGCUCAAAUAACAGGUGGCUGAAAUCUGAAAAGGGCUGAUUUUCAAGAACGUGUUGUAUUUAGCAAGUUAUAUUUACAACCAAAUAGCAAUGCAAUCAUGUCUACUCGCUGCUCCUCUGGGACAGAAUUAAGAAAUAUCACCCAAAUGUGAACAGCAGAUCCGUGAUACAGGCAGGAGUGGGACUGGUCCUUCUCAAGUCACAACUCCACUGUUUAACUACAGGGCCAUAAAACUUCCUUUCCUAGUCUGCUAGCAAUGCCACGAUCCACUCAGACAAAGAGUGAUAUCAAGAAUAAGUCCAUCUGGCAUCAGCCACAGCCCAUAUGAGAUGAAGAUCAACAGCCUGGGAAGAGGAGUGAACUCAGUGCCUAGGGCUGGGCAGUGCUAGCACAAGCUGUCUUCCCCCUUUGCUGAGGGGGGCUGUCAGGUUUGGAUCAGCAGCAACACAAGGGCAGCCCCAGAAGUCAUUGCCUGUGUCAUAAACCAGAUGCCCCAGGGGAUUCUGAAUAACCCUACAGGCAAACAGAAUGGGCCAUCAUCCUCUUUUGUCAUGAAAAGGUAGGAGAUUCACUUCUGCAGCUUCAAGAGAAAUUGGGAAAGAACUGGAACUCCAGCAUCCCAGGAGGGUACCACUGACGUAAUGUAGCAUGACAAUACAUAACUCCCAUUGGCUUCCUGCGUUGGUGCUCACAAGUGUUCUACGCAGAAAGUCUUUUCUUCAGAACUGUGUUGUGCUGAGGACUGAAUUAAUCUGUUAUUUAAUGUGGCUACUGAGCUUUAUGUUCUGCAAAUUACCAUUACUUGAUAUUUCUUCUUGCUGUGAAUUUUUUUGUCGAGUUUGGACUUGGUGAUCCUUAUGGGUCCUUUCCAGUGUGGGUUAUUCUAUGAUUUUAUGAUUUCCAAACUGUAAAGAUUUAUACUUUCUCAUGUUGUUUGAUCGUUUGCUUUUAAUACAUCUCUUCAUCUGCUGAAUAAUGCAGGUAGAUUUUGGAUUUUCUCAUGACUUUGCCCCACCAAAGUAGCUAACUAGGGUGAAGUCCAUUAAUUGAUAUCACUCAAUUAAUUAUUCUGAGAACUCAGAACCUGGUUUCUGGCUCUGUCUUCUGAAAGGAAAAUCUGUGUUGUUUGUUUGAUUGCUCCUCAAGCUGCAUGUGCCUUCCCAGGCUUUGAAGCUAUGCCCAUCACUGCAGAACAUGAGAUGACUGAUAACGCCCUUCUCAUUCACAGAACAGACACUGUUCAGCAACAACAUGUUUUGGCCUAAAAAGUGGUGUUUGAGACCUGAUACGUAAUCUAUGAAUUCGUCCAAUCUGGUCAGUGCCCCUUGCUUUGGUGUUCUUAAGAUAUAGAUGCACAUCCACUCAGAAAAUCACUGCUGCCCCAGGCAGUGGCCAGGCCAUCUCUAUCAGCUCUUGGUCACUGGGAACGUUUCAAAGUUGCUCUGGAAACAGAAGGCUCUGAAACUACACAGUGUUAUUCCCAUGAACAACGCACUGCCCUACAGUUUGCUCUGUUCACAGCCAGCUACUCUUCUAUUAGACUCUUUUUUUUUAUUAUUAUUAUUUGCCCACAAAUUUUGUUAUACUUUCUUGUAAGCAGUCAAAAUUCAAGUUUUGUUGAAAUCAGC